rnacentral:rRNA from 1 species
GGGUUGUGAGGUUAAGCGACUAAGCGUACACGGUGGAUGCCCUGGCAGUCAGAGGCGAUGAAGGACGUGCUAAUCUGCGAAAAGCGCCGGCGAGGUGAUAUGAACCCUUGACCCGGCGAUGUCCGAAUGGGGAAACCCAGUGUGUUCCGACACACUAUCGUUAACUGAAUACAUAGGUUAACGAGGCGAACCGGGGGAACUGAAACAUCUAAGUACCCCGAGGAAAAGAAAUCAACCGAGAUUCCCCCAGUAGCGGCGAGCGAACGGGGAGCAGCCCGGAGUCUGAAUCAGCUUGUGUGUUAGUGGAACGGUCUGGAAAGUCCGACGGUACAGGGUGAUAGUCCCGUACACGAAAAUGCACAUGCUGUGAACUCGAAGAGUAGGGCGGGACACGUGGUAUCCUGUCUGAAUAUGGGGGGACCAUCCUCCAAGGCUAAAUACUCCUGACUGACCGAUAGUGAACCAGUACCGUGAGGGAAAGGCGAAAAGAACCCCGGCGAGGGGAGUGAAAAAGAACCUGAAACCGUGUACGUACAAGCAGUGGGAGCCUCUUUAUGGGGUGACUGCGUACCUUUUGUAUAAUGGGUCAGCGACUUAUAUUCUGUAGCAAGGUUAACCGUAUAGGGGAGCCGAAGGGAAACCGAGUCUUAACUGGGCGUUAAGUUGCAGGGUAUAGACCCGAAACCCGGUGAUCUAGCCAUGGGCAGGUUGAAGGUUGGGUAACACUAACUGGAGGACCGAACCGACUAAUGUUGAAAAAUUAGCGGAUGACCUGUGGCUGGGGGUGAAAGGCCAAUCAAACCGGGAGAUAGCUGGUUCUCCCCGAAAGCUAUUUAGGUAGCGCCUCGUGAACUCAUCUUCGGGGGUAGAGCACUGUUUCGGCUAGGGGGCCAUCCCGGCUUACCAACCCGAUGCAAACUACGAAUACCGAAGAAUGUUAUCACGGGAGACACACGGCGGGUGCUAACGUCCGUCGUGAAGAGGGAAACAACCCAGACCGCCAGCUAAGGUCCCAAAGUCAUGGUUAAGUGGGAAACGAUGUGGGAAGGCACAGACAGCCAGGAUGUUGGCUUAGAAGCAGCCAUCAUUUAAAGAAAGCGUAAUAGCUCACUGGUCGAGUCGGCCUGCGCGGAAGAUGUAACGGGGCUAAACCAUGCACCGAAGCUGCGGCAGCGACGCUUAUGCGUUGUUGGGUAGGGGAGCGUUCUGUAAGCCGUUGAAGGUGUGCUGUGAGGCAUGCUGGAGGUAUCAGAAGUGCGAAUGCUGACAUAAGUAACGAUAAAGCGGGUGAAAAGCCCGCUCGCCGGAAGACCAAGGGUUCCUGUCCAACGUUAAUCGGGGCAGGGUGAGUCGACCCCUAAGGCGAGGCCGAAAGGCGUAGUCGAUGGGAAACAGGUUAAUAUUCCUGUACUUGGUGUUACUGCGAAGGGGGGACGGAGAAGGCUAUGUCAGCCGGGCGACGGUUGUCCCGGUUUAAGCAUGUAGGCGGAGGUUCCAGGUAAAUCCGGUACCUUAUUAACGCUGAGGUGUGAUGACGAGGCACUACGGUGCUGAAGUGAUAAAUGCCCUGCUUCCAGGAAAAGCCUCUAAGCAUCAGGUAACACGAAAUCGUACCCCAAACCGACACAGGUGGUCAGGUAGAGAAUACCAAGGCGCUUGAGAGAACUCGGGUGAAGGAACUAGGCAAAAUGGUGCCGUAACUUCGGGAGAAGGCACGCUGAUAUGUAGGUGAAGCCCCUGCGGGCGGAGCUGAAAUCAGUCGAAGAUACCAGCUGGCUGCAACUGUUUAUUAAAAACACAGCACUGUGCAAACACGAAAGUGGACGUAUACGGUGUGACGCCUGCCCGGUGCCGGAAGGUUAAUUGAUGGGGUUAGCGGCAACGCGAAGCUCUUGAUCGAAGCCCCGGUAAACGGCGGCCGUAACUAUAACGGUCCUAAGGUAGCGAAAUUCCUUGUCGGGUAAGUUCCGACCUGCACGAAUGGCGUAAUGAUGGCCAGGCUGUCUCCACCCGAGACUCAGUGAAAUUGAACUCGCUGUGAAGAUGCAGUGUACCCGCGGCAAGACGGAAAGACCCCGUGAACCUUUACUAUAGCUUGACACUGAACACUGGUCCUUGAUGUGUAGGAUAGGUGGGAGGCUUUGAAGCGUGGACGCCAGUCUGCGUGGAGCCAUCCUUGAAAUACCACCCUUUAAUGGCUGGUGUUCUAACGUAGACCCGUGAUCCGGGUUGCGGACAGUGUCUGGUGGGUAGUUUGACUGGGGCGGUCUCCUCCCAAAGAGUAACGGAGGAGCACGAAGGUUGGCUAAUCCUGGUCGGACAUCAGGAGGUUAGUGCAAUGGCAUAAGCCAGCUUGACUGCGAGCGUGACGGCGCGAGCAGGUGCGAAAGCAGGUCAUAGUGAUCCGGUGGUUCUGAAUGGAAGGGCCAUCGCUCAACGGAUAAAAGGUACUCCGGGGAUAACAGGCUGAUACCGCCCAAGAGUUCAUAUCGACGGCGGUGUUUGGCACCUCGAUGUCGGCUCAUCACAUCCUGGGGCUGAAGUAGGUCCCAAGGGUAUGGCUGUUCGCCAUUUAAAGUGGUACGCGAGCUGGGUUUAGAACGUCGUGAGACAGUUCGGUCCCUAUCUGCCGUGGGCGCUGGAGAAUUGAGGGGGGCUGCUCCUAGUACGAGAGGACCGGAGUGGACGCAUCACUGGUGUUCGGGUUGUCAUGCCAAUGGCACUGCCCGGUAGCUAAAUGCGGAAGAGAUAAGUGCUGAAAGCAUCUAAGCACGAAACUUGCCCCGAGAUGAGUUCUCCCUGAGAC